GUGUGUGUGUGUGUGUGCAUGUUCGCGUUUGGCGGUCACGUCUUUUGUCCGUUCGCAACCGAAAUCGGCACGCACACUCGGCACGCACAGGGGAAGGUUUGCGUAAAAGAAUUAAAAAAAUUAUGCACCGGGGCCCCUCUCGAGGGGUCGACCCCCGCCUAAAAUUUCUCGACGACGCAAACGCUACACAUUCCGGUUCAUUCGAACACACGCCCGCACCGGUCCCGUGUAGACCCUAUGCAUCGCCGUCCUUCGCAAAGCUUCGAGCGAUCGAAUAUCUCUUGCCGACGAAACUUACUCUUCUAUCGCUUGCGUUUCUCUCCAAAUUCUGAUUGCAUUUGCACCGAAUCCAACCUACACGUUUUCUGCAGCAAGCGCUACACGGGGAGUGUGUCGAUUUCUAUCGAAACAAGCGCGAAGAGCAAGAUUCGAAUUCAUUCAGCAUAUCCGGGACCUCGCAACAAAGAUGCACGUGACGUGUCCACAGACCUACCUUUACACUACAGUAUCUUGCCCGUACGAAGGACGGGCCAUGGAUCCUAGUGAUAUAUAUAUCUGUUGCAAGUGAAUGCAUCUCCGUCACUCUCAUUAGUGACAUACUCAACAUCAUCAUUCUAGGACGAGACAUUCCUGACGUUCGAUGGAACAAAAUUCCUGCCAAGAAAGCUCUUGGUAACUUUGAUGUAUUGUAUGAUGAAGAGUUGGAGAGGCUUGCUCAUCUGUCUGAUACUGCAGAUGGUCGUGAUGGGAAAUCGAGAGCAGCAGCUGCAGGACGCAGCAGUCAAACUGGCAACGAUGGGAAGAAGCAGCUAACCAUUUGGAAGCGAAAUGAGAUAAGCCACAAGCAAGUGAUGGAAAAUUUAGUUGAUAUUAAUUAAAUAAACUCAAUCUCUUUCCGCGGGGUUACUAGUUGGUGAUUUCAGAUGUGGAAAACUGUGUGAGUGUGUUUGCUAUACUGAGCUGAUAUUAUGCCAUUUGUUUGCUGUAAAUAAUGUUUCAUAGUUUAUACAUUCUCUCUGUGUUGUGUUGACUGACGUUACUGGAUGUUUGCUGACUUGAGGAAGCAAGUACACAGAGACAGACAGACUGGAGAAUGACAAACAGACUGGAUGGAUGGCUCACAGGGUUGUCUGCAGACACACUGGCUGGAAAACAGAUAGUCAAAGAAAACACAAGCAAACGAAUAAACAGAUAAACAGAUAAACAUACCAGGGAAUGUAAAGAAUUACUUACAUCAAAUACAACGUGUAGCUACGGGAUUGUGUGUGAAGAAGUUGGAAGG